rnacentral:sRNA from 1 species
UACUGCUGAGCCAGUUGGAGCAGAGAUCCCUGCAGCUGCAGGUGGACAACCAGGCACUGAAGUGCGUAUGGCCCGUGGAGGGGCGGGCGGCGGGGGCAGGCUGGGGCCAAGCUCCGGCCCAGCUCUUUCUGAUCCCACGACCCAGGCCAGUGACUUCCCCUCUCUACAGAAGCCUGCCAGACAGGCUGAGGCUUGGGGCAGGAUGGGGGCCCCUGUGGGCUUGGAGAUAAAUGGCAGGGCCCCUGGCCCCAGGUGGCCCCAGUCCUGGGGAAGGGGGAAGGCUGUUGACUCAUCCCAGUUGGGGUCCAGGAGCCAGAGAGACCAGCUGAGCCUGCAGCUGGAGCAGAAGCAGGUGGAUUUGCAGCAGCUACAGCAAAAACUGGCUAAUGAGCAGAAGGUUCGGGCCAGCCUGGAGGCGGCUCUGGUCCAGGCCACCUCCUUCCUACAGAACAUUCUGCAGGUGAGCAGAAGGGAGGGAGGGAGGGCGCAAAGGGAGGGGGAGUGAGCCCAAGAUGGAAGCUGCUUGCAGAGAAGGGGCAGCCUCAGGAUCAGAGGCCCCUCUUUUCCCUGAGAGACUCCUGGAAAGUCUGUCCUUCGCUGAUUCUGGCCUUCAAAGAUCCCUCCAAGGUCUUAAAGGAGUUGGAUUCCUUCUCUGAGGCUCUGAAAGGUCUCGGGCCUCAGUCUUCCAGACUGAAGAAUGGGUAUCCCACCACAGACAGGGAAAACUUUGUGGAAAUGGGCACUGAGGUUGGAAUUUCCUGGAGGAGGGUGGGUACUGGGGCCACUGUGGGCCUGCUGUCACCCCACCCUCACCAACAGAUGCACCCCGAUGAAGAGGACAGCGACUUUGACGUGACGUUCCAGCCAUGGCACAAGGAGAUGCUGCAGCAACUGCUGGUCAUGCUCGGCUCCACUGUGGUCCCGAGACCUCAGAAGGCUGUGUGUCCCCACCGGGAGUCACAGUCCCAUGGCCCACCCAAGGAGAGCGUCCCGUGGGCCCCAACGCAGAGGAGCGGAAACGCAGAGCAACGCUGCAGUGGGGAAGGGGCGCGAAGAAGGGGCCCAGAAACCCGACCCCUGAGAACUCCAGAAGGCUGGGCAGGCAGGGCGCCCUAGUGCAGGAACGGAGCUUCUGGAAGUUUGGAGCCCGUCGAGCACUGGACUCACCAGUUAAGAAAACAGAGCAGCAAUUUGGGGGCACUCGGCUCCCGGGACAUAAUGGCCGAACUGAAGCUAGGGACCGGGAGCCCCUACGUCGCCGCCCCACGCCACUCACCAUCCACCGCUUCCCCGGGGGCCGAGGCUCCAAAACACAUCUGCUCAUGGCUCUACUCAGCCGCUGUCCCGCGCCCAAAAAGCCGCGCGGCCUCAUGCUGCCCUCAUUCACUCCCCCGACACUGCCCCCUGACGUCAUCACCCCGCAGCAGCCAAUCGCGUUGCCAUCUGUUUGGCGUCGACCGCCAACGUCCAAUCCGGGCCGGGCUACAUGGCCGCCAUGCUUCUGAGGGGCGGAAGCGGCGAGAAGGUGGCCGAGUCCGGGAACCCAGGCGCCUUCAGUGGUGCGGCGUCACAGUGUCCCUGCGGGAUUUGUGUGGGACGCUCGGAGCUCUUGCUUGACCUUCGGUUGGGAGG